AAAGCUUGCUUUUCUGAAUCUAGUGGCGAACGGGUGAGUAACACGUAGGUAACCUGCCCAUGUGCCCGGGAUAACUUCUGGAAACGGAUGCUAAAACCGGAUAGGUAGCAGACAAGCAUUUGACUGCUAUUAAAGUGGCUUUGGCCAUGAACAUGGAUGGACCUGCGGUGCAUUAGCUGGUUGGUGAGGUAACGGCCCACCAAGGCGACGAUGCAUAGCCGGCCUGAGAGGGCGGACGGCCACAUUGGGACUGAGACACGGCCCAAACUCC
rnacentral:rRNA from 1 species